UAGACUCCCCCCACCUCGCCGCCACUGCCCUGUCCGCCCACCCCGCCGGCACCCAGUCGGGCUGAGGCGCCACCACCGCCCUGCCCCGCUCGAGCUACCGCCUCUGCCCUGCUCCGCCCGCAGCGGGGCCUUCCUCCCGGGUGGGUCGAGUGGCGGGGAAUCUGCCCAUGCCUUCGUUGGGGAAUCCGGCGGCGGCCGGCUUCCCUGCCCUGCCCCGCCUCGGUCGCAGGCUGGUGGGGUGAGGGCAAGGCUCCCCCCAAGGCCGCGCCUCCUUGCAGCGGCGCGGCCACUCCUUGAGCUGCACACAGUUUUGGAUGAGGUGAUACUGGGAGGACAGGUGAUCGAAACAAGUUCGGAGCGAGCAAAUAACGAAAUCUGUGGAGGAGAUUGCAAGACUGGAGAAACAAUCAAGCACAACCAGCCUCGUACCCAAGUCGAUUUCAGAGCGUUUCAGUCGUUAAGGUUUCACUUGCUUCCAGGACUGAACAUUCAUGGUGUGAUCAGAAACACAGAAGACAAGAUUGGCCCUCGAGCUUACCUUCAG